rnacentral:rRNA from 1 species
UACGUAGGGGGCGAGCGUUGUCCGGAAUCAUUGGGCGUAAAGCGCGUGUAGGCGGCUCGGUAAGUCUGCUGUGAAAGUCCAGGGCUCAACCCUGGGAUGCCGGUGGAUACUGUCGAGCUCGAGUCCGGAAGAGGCAAGUGGAAUUCCUGGUGUAGCGGUGGAAUGCGCAGAUAUCAGGAGGAACACCAACGGCGAAGGCAGCUUGCUGGGACGGUACUGACGCUAAGGCGCGAAAGCGUGGGGAGCGAACAGG